rnacentral:sRNA from 1 species
GAUGGGUGUGGUGGCGCACACCUGUAAUCCCAGCAGUCAGGAGGCCGAGGUGGGAGGAUUGCAACUUCAGAGCCAGCCUCAG